rnacentral:rRNA from 1 species
UUGGAGGGCAAGUCUGGUGCCAGCAGCCGCGGUAAUUCCAGCUCCAAUAGCGUAUAUUAAAGUUGUUGCAGUUAAAAAGCUCGUAGUUGAAUUUCGGGAUCAAUAUGUUGGUCGUGCCUUGGUACGUACUGGCGUCAUUGGUUUCUACCUUCUGAAGAACCUCGAUGUCAUUAAUUUGGUGUCUUGGGGAAUCAGGACUGUUACUUUGAAAAAAUUAGAGUGUUUAAAGCAGGCUCACGCUUGAAUACAUUAGCAUGGAAUAAUGAAAUAGGACGUUUGAUUCUAUUUUGUUGGUUUCUAGGAUCGACGUAAUGAUUAAUAGGGAUAGUUGGGGGCAUUAGUAUUCAAUUGUCAGAGGUGAAAUUCUUGGAUUUAUUGAAGACUAACUACUGCGAAAGCAUUUGCCAAGGAUGUUUUCAUUAAUCAAGAACGAAAGUUAGGGGAUCGAAGACGAUCAGAUACCGUCGUAGUCUUAACCAUAAACUAUGCCGACUAGGGAUCGGAUGAUGUUAAUUUUUUAAUGACUCNUUCGGCGCCUUAACGGGAAAC